rnacentral:rRNA from 1 species
UACAGAGGUGGCAAGCGUUGUUCGGAAUUACUGGGCGUAAAGGGCGCGUAGGUGGCCUUCUUAGUCAGACGUGAAAUCCCCAGGCUUAACCUGGGAACUGCGUCUGAUACUGGAAGGCUUGAGUUCGGGAGAGGAAUGUGGAAUUCCAGGUGUAGCGGUGAAAUGCGUAGAUAUCUGGAGGAACACCGGUGGCGAAGGCGGCAUUCUGGACUGUCUCUGACACUGAAGAACGAAAGCCAGGGGAGCAAACGGG